AACUCUUGGAACUCAGUUUGGCUGAUACUCAAGCCUCAAGGAUAAACACUAAUGAGAACAACAUAACAUGAUAUUAUUGGAAACCAUAAAACCACCAGCUAGAAAUUCAUCACCUGUAAAUGUACACUUUUUAUGCAUCUGGGGUGAUAACAGCUGUCUCAAGUUCUUUCAGUAAUCUUCAUUGUGAGACCUUCCACAGUGAACCCUAAGACCUGACUCAGCAUCUCCCACAUUCCUGUGUUGAAACCUAACCUCCAAGGCUUGUUUUUCAUAGCAUGAUGACCACAAAAAUCCCUCAUGUGAAAGCGUAUAACAGGAACUUCAUCUUUAUUUAAGGCUGAAUAAAGCCUCAUGGGAUCUUAGCCUUGUCUCCUCAAAUCUCCUGUUCCUCAUCACAUUUGUGAUUAUGAUCUCUCCAUGAUGGAUCAACACCUAUGAAGCAGCCAUCAUGUGUCUUUAGAGAAGAAAGAAAAACAUCUUGAAAGUUUAGAAGAGAAUCCAUCUUCACAUCCUGUCCACGUUUGGUCUGGAAUGCCAGGGUUACCAAUGGACAACCAGAAAUUAACAGCUGCGUGUCCUUAACUGUUUUAUUUAUGUUUAACUUUUAAGAAAAUUAGUUGACAAUGCUAUCUACUCUAACUUUUAAAACUGAAGUUAUUCAUGGGGAGUCAGUAUUCACAUGUCGAAUAGAAAAAAAAAACGUAUUUUUUUUUCUGUGUUGAAGAGACUUUUAAGGAAUUAUAAUAUUACUUUUCUAUUGGAAGUGUUGAAUGCUAGUGAAAGUAAUUUGUUAGAUUUGAUGAAUUUCAA